rnacentral:rRNA from 1 species
CACGUAGGGCGCAAGCGUUGUCCGGAAUUAUUGGGCGUAAAGAGCUCGUAGGCGGUUUGUCGCGUCUGCCGUGAAAGUCCGGGGCUCAACUCCGGAUCUGCGGUGGGUACGGGCAGACUAGAGUGAUGUAGGGGAGACUGGAAUUCCUGGUGUAGCGGUGAAAUGCGCAGAUAUCAGGAGGAACACCGAUGGCGAAGGCAGGUCUCUGGGCAUUAACUGACGCUGAGGAGCGAAAGCAUGGGGAGCGAAUAGG